GUGUUUGGAGGGCGGGACUGAAACUGAAAUGAACAAGGCGCGGCCAAGAACCCCCUUCACACGUGCAGACAAAGAGACCUAACAACACAACCAAAAUAUUCACGUAUAAACUUUUUCGGAAACGCCGACGGUUUUCGUGGACAUGCGAAACAGAACAAAUAAGAAUAAGUAACGUAUAUAUUUUGCUUGUUUGCUCUUAAACUAAUUUAAUGGUUUUGUUUUCAGUGAAAAGUUGCUCAGAGUUGGUGCGUCAGCUCGCAAAGUUGAGCACAAAGAGGAGAGGAGCGUUCCUUUGUUCCGCGGAGGGCUUUGAAGGGAAAUCGUGGAUGAAGAAUUCCAGUUAUCCUGUUUGAAAAUUAAUGUUAAACAAGAUGCAACAGGAAGAAACUGGGGAAACUUGCAUCUGCCCGGUCCUGCAUAUAGCCUACCUCUCAGAAGCAGCAAGAUGCACCUUCGUAAGGACUGUGGGGACUGGCGUAGGCUACUUUUUCUUUGGAAAGUUACGGUUUUGGGAUACAGAUGGACAUUGGAUUCUAUUUCUCAACAAUUGUGGAAUAAUUCAAAAUACUGGAUUAUAUGUACUUUCAAAAACAAAGAACUUAAAACAUAUAUACAGUAAUGGAUGGAAAACGCCAUGGAGCCUGAAACACAACAAAGCAAGCUGCUUGAGCACCUGGGUGGGUGAUUGUGACACGUCCAGCUGUCUCGGUUCACCCUCCUUGGCCUUGGCUGCGGUUCCCUCGGCAAAUUCCACACCUGUAGGCCCGGCCACGUCCCUCGGGUUCCCCUGCUCGCCCUGACGCCCUGAGAGGAGUUUCGUAAUUCAUUGCGUCGUGCCCCGAACACUGUGGCAGAAGAGAACAUCUGCUUUCUCUCCCUGGGUCUGUCCUGCAGGAAUGGAGGUGAAGGCCUAGCGGGAGGCUAGCGCGGCCUGGCAGGGCUCCAGUCCUGGAAAGCAGAGGGGACGGGGGAGGGGGGGGGGGGAGGCACCGGAGUCUGAAAGACAUGUGCAGAGGCCCCAACGCCCGUUAGGAAAACACCGGCCAUGUUCUCACGUAGCGCUGAACGUAUCGAAUGUUUCCCCGUGGCGAGCCGGCCCUGCGCUGCUGCUCCUAACGGCUCUGUGUGGAAUGACCGGCGUGACUCUUCAGAGUGGAACGGGCAGCUGUUCUCUGGAGGCUGCGCAAUGGAAACAUGUUUCACAACUGAUGUAAUAAGAGACAGUAAUGUGUUCUACUGUGAGCUACUGUUGUAUUAAAUUGAAUCAAUGAGGUA